CAGGGAAUUCUAUAUACAUAUGAUCUGCAAAGAACUUGUAUUAAUUUAAAACUAUUUGAAGACAAUGUUUGCUUGGAGCAGGAAUUAGAGUCAGUACUAGUUAAGCACAUACAACUAGGAACUGUGGGAUAUAGAGUUUAAGCCCGUAGCUGCCAGAAUUAAAUCUAAUUCAUCGUUAAACACUUCAUCUUCCUCUACAGCAUAGGUAAAAGGUCAUACACUCCAAAAAUAUGAUCCAGAAAGGGAUAAUGUGGAGAGGGAAAUCCAGAUCUAAUAGGCUUUGUAAUUCCCUCUUCUGGGGAGAACUGUGUCACUGAUACAACUUGGACUCUCUUCUGGCAAGUAGUAAUAGUAGCUGAUGUUAAACUUUCAGUAAUCACUGGCUUUGCUGAUGUGUCAGGCCAAAAAAAAAACCUACGUUGUUUUGAGAAAUUUGUUUUGGCGAUGCAGACCAACAAACAAAGUGAUGAUAUUUUCUUCUAGAAGGAAAAUGAAUUGGUGUUUAAACAUAAAUUCUGGCUGGUAACAGAGAAACAGCACAAGAGGUUGUAAUGCAAACAAUUAAAGAUCUUUCUAAUCUAUAAUUCAUGUCUCAGCAUCUGCUGGAUCUGACCAUAAGGAACACCUAAAAGAUUUUCUUCCUGCCCCAUUGGUUCUCCCAUUCUUUCACAAUUCAGUUUAUGUAUUGUGAUGGAUUUUGUGCUCAGUAUUGACUGAGAACCUGACCUGGCUCCUGUUGAAGACGGUGGCAGGACUCCCAUUGACUUUGACGGCAGAUGGAUCUGAAGUGGAAUAUGAAUGAGCAGAUAUGUUCUAUAUUAAAGAAGAGCAUCAGAUGAUUUUGGGAAGAAAAAAAAGAAAAAAAAGUAAUGCUUGAAAGUUUUCAGAGCAGAUGAGAAAUAAACAGACCAAGCAUCUCAGCCUGGAAUGUCAUCUUCAUCUGUGAAUCAGAAUUUGGACCUGCUGCUGAUGAGUUGGAAAAGCAAUUGUGGCAUGAACAAUGAGACUUUGGGUUGACAGCCUAGGGGAGCUAUUCGACAGCUUCACAGACAGGCUUCCCAAUGUAAAUGAAGAUGAGAAAGUGCAUGAAAAAUCGAUCAUGCACUAGAGACAACACUUACUUCAUUAACUACCUUCAGCACUAACCUCUUGAACACUGUUAGUAAACCUAUUAUGUCACAGCUGAGAUGCAGCUGAAGAUUUUGCUUUGAGAAUUUAAACAAAGCUAUAUAAGAACACAAACCAGAUUAAAAAGUAGUACCAUAUAAGUCAACUGCUAGUUGCUGACAUCAGUAAAAUGUUGUCUGUUACUAUCAGGAAACAUGGGAACAAUGAUUAAAAUUUCCUAAUAUUGCAGUAAAAUUUUUAGCUGUUACCUGGAAAAAGAAAAAAAAAAAAAAAAAGAGAGAGAGUAUUCUGCAGUGUGUGGAAUGCAUAUAUUUCUAAUAAGUGCUGUCAUGUGACAGGGAUACUAACAAGAACUUCUUAGAGCUGAGGAUCUGUUUUUGGAAUUUGCUCAGGUAAGUAAUGAAAAUACAUAUAUAGAUAUACAG